UCGGGUCUGUGGUUGCAAGUCGAUGCCAGUCGCAGGCAAAGCGAUCCACGUAAGCCGGCCAAAGCGCCGGCGAUCAUAGUGCGGCCUAGAAGUAAGUCCGGCCAGCGCGCCUUCGGGCGCAGCUGAGAGGGUCAGUAGUGGGAGGACACGCGUCCCAUGAGCGAACGCUCCAGCCGGCGGGUGUGGGGGUAAAAACCAGGUCAGCCGAU
rnacentral:ncRNA from 1 species